rnacentral:tRNA from 1 species
AGAAGUAAGUUAUCAAGAAUAAGCUUCUAACUUAAUUCUUAAGCAAUAAAUUGUUUUUACUUC